rnacentral:lncRNA from 1 species
UGUGGUCCCAGCUACUCUGGAGGCUGAAGUGGGAGAAUCACUUGAACCCGGGAGGCAGCGGUUGCAGUCAGCUGAGAUCGUGCCACUGCACUCCAGCCUGGGCAAUGAAGCAAAACUCUGUCUCAAAAAAAUAACAGUAACAAUUAGAUUCUGUGCACAGUCCAUAAAACUAGGCCAAGUGGAAUUUGGGUUUCCAGAGCCAUUCUAUCCUGUUUUAGUCCAUAUAACCUUAUGUAUUAUUUGUGUUUUUUGUUUUUGAGAUGGUCUUACUCUGUCACCCAGCCUGGAGUUCUGUGGCACAGUCAUAGCUCAUAAUAGCCUCAAACUUCUGGGCUCAAGCAACCCACCCACCUCAGCCUCCCAAGCAGCUUGAACUACAGGUGUGAGUAACCAUGCCCAGCUAUUUUUUUCUUUUUUGUAGAGAGUGGGACUAACUAUGUUGCCCAGGCUUGUCCAGAACUCCUGGCCUCAAGCAAUCCUCCUGCCUUGGCCUCUCAAAGCGGUGGGAUUACAGGCAUGAGCCACCACACCCAGCCCUUACAUCUUCUUAAAACAAAAUACUAAUAACAACAAACAAAAGUCCUGGAUCCCUCAAACCAAGUUAGGACCUAAAGAUAAGAAGACACAAAACCAACGAAAGGCCUGUAAUCAGCUCAGUAUUAACCAUCCAGUAGGCAGGACAGGAACUCUCAAUAUAGGAAACUCUUUUCUGGUGCUGUAUCCUUUAUCAUCUCUCCCCCACUAUUACUGGCUACACGCUUAAAGUAAGAAACUCCUGGGCAAACAAUGUGAGGAUAAGCAGAUGCUCUGUUGCCACGGGCCACCUCAGCCACCUCUCACCUCUGUGGUCAAUGUCAUCAGUAUCGCUGUCUGCUUCCUCAUCCUCUUCAUCCAAGGUUCCUCGAGUCAGGAUCAAAUCAGAAGGGUGCAGCACAGGAGAUAAGCUGUCUACAGUGAAAACACCUAUCAGUGAUAUGCCUCCUCAAAAAGGUGAUCUUGAAUCACUAAGUAACUAUGAUCAUAAACUGGCAGGAUGAAAGUGCUCAUGAUACAUAUAAACGCAGGAUCUUACCUCUUCUAAAUGUAUUGUUAAUACCACUUAACAUUUCUAUAAUAGCUUAGUUCACAAAGUGCUUUCAUAAGGCAAAUAGCCCUAGGAGUCCCAUUUUUUUAAGCUGAGGGAAAUAAUUUUCAAGAAGCUUGUCUUACUAGUAGCAUCAUUCUUUUUUACUGGCUCACAGCUUGGAAGGGGUGAUGGUUUUUCCUAUGAAAGCUAACAACAUUUGAGCAGAUCCAGUGUGCUGGUGAGUCACAGUGAAAGUGUGGAGUGCUAAGGAAGCCUCCUGGUAGAAAUGUAAGUUCAGAGAAGGUCUGCAGAAAAUACAGGGUGAAAUGUUAUCAAGGAGCCAGGGUAUUAUUUAAGAAGAGGAGGGAGGGGAAACAUAGAAAAUCAAAUACACUAAUAGAAGUAAAAUUCCCUAUUCAGAAAAACUAGUGAGGGCUGAGCUCCAGUAAUCAGAGAGAAGUCUAAUCAAGUCACUACUGCCAUGGGAGGACAUAGUCACUCUUUCUUCAGGAGCCUAUGAGGCUUGCGAGAGCUCAGCUAGGGAAUAAGGGUGGCCAGAGACAGCAACAUCAACUGGCACAAAUCUCAAGGGGCCUGUGGGCCUGAAAAAGGAGGAUGACAGGACAUGCUGACAGUAAAUGCUUCAUUCUGCGCCUAACUAACAAUUAUGCAACUAUACUUGUGACUUUCCUCAAAUGAUUUACUUAAACUCUCCCAACCUUCAACAGGUUAGCUGACUACAGCAGACCCUUUGCAGCAGUAGUUUUAACAUUGACUUCACAUAUUCAGAAGUGAUUCUAAAGGACUGUGGCACAUAGAAAUGUAUUUUGCUGAGCUGUACAACAGGAUGGCACAAAAUCCUGCUGAUAGAAAUAAGUGUAACCGGCCAGGCACAGUGGCUCAUGCCUGUAAUCCCAGCAUUUUGGGAGGCCCAGGUGGGUAGAUCAUCUGAGGUCGGGAGUUCGAGACCAGCCUGACCAACAUGGAAAAACCCCAUCUCUACUAAAAAUACAAAAUUAGCCGGGUGUGGUGGCACAUGCCUGUAAUCCCAGCUACUCAGGAAGGCUGAGGCAGGAGAAUUGCUUGAACCUGGGAGGUGGAGGUUGUGGUGAGCCGAGACUCCAGCCUGGGCAACAAGAGUGAAACUCCGUCUCAAAAAUAAAUAAAUAAAAGAAAGAAAGAAAGAAGUGUAACCUUUUUUUAGUUCCUAACACCAAGAAACCCUCCAAUACCUCUGGCAGUCCCUGCAUCCAAGGCUACAGAACCCAUGUCUUUUCGAAGGCGUUCCAGUUGUUCUCUCUGCUGUUGGCUCUCUGCGUUGGCCUG